CCUGCCUCAGCCUCUCAAGUCACUGGGUUUACAGGUGUGUGCCACCAUGCCCAGCUCUUUCUCUUUCUCUCUCUCUUUAAAUACAGAAGGGUGGGUUUCAUUGUGGCAUGUUCGUACAUAUGAAUUUUGCUUAAAGUUCUUUCCCAGUACCUUCCCCACCUGACUUUCCUUUCUCUUAGAUUUCCUGAUUCCUGUUCUCCCCAAGAAUUCCAAUAAAUAUUUGGGGAAGAAUUCUCACUGGCCCAGCUGACAGUCAUUGUUGCUCUCUAAUCAGCCAGACCAGACUCCAUUGUGCACCCCCAUCUGGGGAUAUGAGAGUGGAGUUAGGACCACCAAACCAAAUGGGACAUGGGAAUUACUAAAGCAAACAAGAGCGUGCUAUUUCUAAGAGGUGGAAAGGAGGCUGGGUAAGUAAAUGCAGAAAUUCUUUCCAGAUUAUUUAGCAUGGAAUUCAGUUUGUCCUCACCAGCAUGGCCCUUGGGAGAUGUUUAUAGUUCAGUAUCCAUUCUGAUUAAUUUGUGCAUAUACCCGUUGGCUUGUUAAAUCUGUUGAACAUCACCUCUGCCCAUUUCCACCGAAUAGUUUUGCCUAGUUUAUCAACUUUCCCAGCCAGAUCUUCUGCUCCUACCCCUGCAUACACACACCCCAUAGCCCAACCUAAUGGUCCUACUUUUGGGGACAUCAGUCUAUAAAAGCAGAGUCUGAUUAUUUUCAUUCCUACUUAUCUUCAAAGACCAGUUCAACCAAGGCCCCAUGAGGCCUUUGUACUGUCCUCACCUGGAAUUGACCUUAGACUUGCCUCACCCCACCUGAAUACUCUGUGAGUGUGUCUCUCAUUGUCUCUUUCUUUUUGUGGGGUGGGGGUACUGGGGAUUGAACUCAGGGGCACUGAGCCACAUCCUGACCCUAUUUGGUUUUUUACCUUUAUUUAUUUAUUUAUUUUUAUGUGGUGCUGAGGAUUGAACCCAGGGCCUCGCAUGUGCUAGGCAAGCACUCUACCGCUGAGCCACAGCCCCAGCGCCCCCAGCCCUAUUUUGUAUUUUAUUUAGAGACAGGGUCUCAAUGAGCCUUGCCAUUGCUGAGGCUGGCUUUGAACUCAGAAUCCUCCUGUCUCAGCCUCCAGAGGCUCUGGGAUUACAGGCAUGUGCCACUACGCCUAGCUCUCAUUGUCUCUUUGAUUGGAAUUAAACAUUUAUUGUGGCUCUCUGCUGAGACUGCACCCUAUUAAUCUAUGUUCCUCAAAGUCUGUCACUUACUUAGUCACGUGACACUUAUAAACUCCUUCACCUCUUUUAAUGUUCUUUUUGUUUGUUUGUUUUUUGUGGUGCUGGGCAUUAGACCCAAGACCUCACCCAGGCUAGGCAGGCACUGUGCCACUGAGCUAUACCCCCAACCCUUCCUUACCUCCUUUAGCCUUCAUUUAUUUCUUUGUAAAAGAGGGAUGAUGAAGCUGGGAAUGUAGCUCAAUGGUACAGCUCUUGCCCUGGAGUGGACAUAUGUCUUGGGAUCAAUCCCUAGCACCACAAAAAUAAGCAAAAAAAUAAAAAUGAGAGAUGAUAAUAGCCCUUGUAGUGUGUGUGUGUGUGUGUGUGUGUGAGAGAGAGAGAGAGAGAGAGAGAGAGAGAGAGAGAGAGAGAAAUUGAGACACAAAACACUAAGUAUGCCAGAGAGAUGAUGUGCCUUGCACAGGACGGACAUCUGUGCUGGCUGAGCUGGGAUUCAAAUGUCCUUCUCUACAUAGAGACUGCACUCCUAACUACUAUUCCAAACAGACUCCCACACAGGAGAUGGAUAGUGGUUGGUACACAGUAGGGGAUGAAUGUUGCUAAAUGCUAAAUGCUUCACUCUGUUGAAUUGAAUCUCAUUUCCGCUUUGGCUGUGCCUUCACCUGGACUGAUUUGCACCUCUCAGUUCAUCUUGGCUGUGUCAUCAGGUCACAUGACACAGUUCUCCUGGGGUGCCCAUUUAAUUCCUGCUGACUUGGAGUAUAUCUUCUGAGCACUCCUGUCAACUGGGAGGAACCUAUGGGCUGUAAUCCUGGAUCUGGAACAGGCCAAAGGUCUCUGUUUGCAGUGACCCAGACAACAGCUGGAACUCAUCCAGGGGAGAUGCUGCCUGUUGGGGAGGGUGUGAGCCUUCCCAAUGCCCCUGCCCCCACUAGGAGUCCAAGGUCCAAGGCUGCAGUUUUCCUGUUCAGAACAUAUUGCUUACCCUUUGGUUUCCAGGGCAUUUGUGGUGAUAAAACCACUUGUCCUGUUCACUUCACAACAGCCUCACAGCUAGAUAUUUGGAGAAAAGAACAUGGGGAUUUGAAUCCACUAAACUCAUAUCUCUGUUCGUGGAAGCAUGUUUACCACAAGAGUCUAUUUGUUUUCUAUUUAUCACGUAGUUAAUAUGUACUAAUUGUUGUAUUGACUUUUUGCCCUGAAUAAUACUUUGUUGUAAGACACUACCCUGUGCAUCGUAAGAUGUUUAGUAGCAUCCCUGGUUUCUACCUACUAAAGCACCCCCAGUUAUGACCACCAAAAAUGUCUCCAGACUUUGCCAAAUGUCCUGGGGAGGUGGGUGCAACUCAUGCCUGGGUAAGAACCUGAUUUAAUUGAAUGGACACAGCAACCCUAUGACCUAGGAAGUAUUAUCUCCCCUUUUUAUUUUUAUUUAUUUCUUAUUUGGGGAUCGAUCCUGGGGCCUGGGGCUAGGCAAGUGCUCUAUGACUGAGCUAUACCCACUUCUCUAUCCCUUACUAGAGAAAGAGAAACUGAGACCCAAAGAAGUGAAGUCUAAGAAAAUCAUAUUGAAACCAACCCCUUGUUUUCUGCUGAAAGAAGGAUCUAAACUAAGCAGGCACUUUAUAAACAUUUGCUAAUUUGAUCCUGAUGAAAAUAUUUUUUAUGUAGAUGGUAACCUUUCAUAGAUGAGAAAAUUAAAGUUACUAAAGUUUAACAGUGUACUUGGUUCUGUUUGUUUAUAUUCUAUCUCAUUCCAGAUGGACUUGCACUCAGAUUUGAGCCUCAUCUGUCUGGUUCCAAAGUCCAAGCUCUUUCCCUGACACUAGACUGAUGCUGAGUAGCUGAGAGCCGGUCACAAAACAGACAACCAGGCGGGGAGAAGCAAUGGGAACACAGCCAAGUUCACAGUGCUGAGAGGCUGUGAUUUCUCAAGUGCUGCCAACAGUGCCCAGUACCUAGGCCAGGCAUCCUGGUGUCUAUAAACAUGGACUCCACACUUAUUUACUCAGUCCCUACUGUGGGAAUAAAACAAAACACACCAGACAAAAAUCCCUGCCUUCUUGGGGCUCACAAUCAAAUUCAGAGAUGAGAGAGCCAAACAGAUGACUAUAAUCUUAGAUGGAAAAAACAAAAAUAAAAGCUUGUGGUGAUAAAAUCACUUGUCCUGUUCACUUCAUAAUAGCCUCCUGGCUAGAUAUUUGGAGAAAAGACCAUGGGGAUUUGAAUCCACUGAACUUAUAUCUCUGUUCCUGGAAGCAUGUUUACCAUAAGAGUCUAUUUGUUUUCUAUAAAUGUAGCUCAGUGAUAGAGCACUUGCUUAGCAUGUGCAAAGCCCUGGCUUCCAUUCCUGGUGUGUGGACAUACACACACGUGCACACCAAAGGAAAAAAAAAAAGUUUAUAAGGGCCAAAGAAGGAAGAUGCAUCCUCCAGGGAGCCAGAGAAAUCUUUCUGGAGGGGGGCUCUUGAGUUGAGGUUCAGUUGAGUCCAUCUGUACUAUGGAGCUAAUGGGCUCUACUACAGAGGACUCUGGUGAGAACUAAAUUAUAUUAAGACUAUAAGUAUUUAGUGAGGAACCUGACACACUGGGAGGGCCUAAAUAACUCCUACCACCUUGUUCACUCCUUCCUCUAAUAAGUACUAUUUGUUUUAUAAUUUAAAAAAAAUUCCUUUAAAGACUUCCCAUUGAUCACACAAUAAAGUCCAUUUUUUGUUGUUGUUGUUGGCAGUGCUGAGGAUCAGACCCAGGGCCUGGCACACACACAUACCAGGCAAACACUCCACCAUUGAGCUAUAUUCCCCAGGUCAAGGUCCAAAAUUCUUGAUAUGCCCUGUACAGUUCUGCUGGAUCUGUCUAUGGCUUUCUUCAUUCAGCUUCAACCUUCCUCAUGUUCUCCUUGAUCAUUCUGUCCCUACAAGGUUUUUUUCCUUUUGUUUGUUUGUUUGUUUUUGGCAGUACUGGGGAUUAAACCCCGGACCUUUUGCAUGUUAGGUGAGUUCUUUACCACUGAGUUAUAGCUACAAUUCUUUUUUAAAUUUUAUUUUCAGAAAGUUGCCGAGGCUGGGCUCAAACUUGUGAUCCUCCUACCUCAGCCUCCUGGGAUUACAGGUGUAUGCCACUGCACCUAGCAAAAAGAGUUCUUCCUCGACAUGUGAAUUUGGACACUCAGAAAUGAGACAGAAGCUCAAGUCUCUGUUCCAGUAGGAGCCAACUGUUAGGUCAGAGGUGAUCUGGACAUGGGAGGAAAGAAUUUCAGCUAAGACUUUUUUUUUUUUUUUUUUUAGGGCCAGGAGAUCACACAAUCUUGAGAGAAGAUGGGACAUUCUGGCACUAUACUUAAGCUUCUCCCCAAAGAGGGGAAGAGGCUUGCCCAAGUUCUCCAGCCAUGUGAGUGAGAACCUAUGCUGGCCACUGCAGCUGUUGCCUCCAGCCUCAGGAAGAAAAAAUUAAGGCAAGAAGUUGUAGGUCUCUGGCACAGAGUGUUGACGCUAGUGCCAGAGAUUUAAAGAUCUGAAGGUUCAGGCUUGUGGGACCUCAAACAAGUCAUUCCCCCUGUUUGUUCUUUAUUGUCACCAUCUGUAAUAGAGAGUCUUAGGUCAAGUACUCUGGAAAGCAGACUUAGAUGGAAAUUUGCAUACAGGAGGUUUACUGGGGAACAAUAUCAGAGGACAGUGAGAAGCAGGGCUAGGCAGAAAUUGGGUUGCAAUGCAGCUGCAGUGGAGGGCUCAGCUGAUCUGACAGGGGAUUCUAGAGCUGGAAUAAUCUGUCAGAGCUGUUUCAAAGGAAGGCAAAGGGUCCAGGCCUUUGUUCAUUCUCCUAUCAACCAGUCAUUGGAAGCAGACUAUCUGGAGGGCAUAACCAUGAGUUAGUUUGCUCCUUUCAACCCAGGACAGUUCCCAGAGAGGGAUUCAGGUCUUUCAGCAGCCAACACCCUCAAUGGAAUGGGGAUGUGGGAAGGAAUGUGUGCCCUAGACUUCGUGACACCCGAGCACCACUACAAAGGAAUGCAGAUGAGCAUUUCUAACUGUUCUGUUUCGUGAAGCCUUCAGGUUCCAAGAAGGUGCUUCAGUGGGGGAAAUCCUCUCUUCUUGAAUGUGUUGUAGCUUCUGCAGAGUCUAACUUAUUUCCUUGAAAGAGGUCUCCACUGCUAGGUCUUAAAUGUCCUCAGAGGCACCUCAUUGCUUUUUUUUUUUUUUGGGGGGGGGUACACAGGGGCACUUACCACUGAGAUAUAUCCCUAGCCCUUUUUAUUUUGAGACAGGGUCUAAGUUGCUAAGGCUGGCCUCAAACAUGUGAUCCUCCUGCCUCAGCCUUCCAAGUUGCUGGGAUGACAGACAUGCAUCACUCUGCCUUGCUCAUGUCUCUUGUGGGGUGCUCAUCACAAUUGUAAUGUAAAUAAUUUGCUGAGUAAUGAUCUAAUAUCUGUCUCUGCCACUUGACAAUAAAUCCCAAAGAACCA
rnacentral:lncRNA from 1 species